AUACGAAGGGACCUAGCGUAGUUCGGAAUUACUGGGCUUAAAGAGUUCGUAGGUGGUUGAAAAAGUUAGUGGUGAAAUCCCAGAGCUUAACUCUGGAACUGCCAUUAAAACUUUUCAGCUAGAGUAUGAUAGAGGAAAGCAGAAUUUCUAGUGUAGAGGUGAAAUUCGUAGAUAUUUGGAGGAACACCAGUGGCGAAGGCGGCUCACUGGCUCGAUACUGACGCUGAGGUACGAAAGUGUGGGGAGCAAACAGGAUUAGAUACCCUGGUAGUCCACACCGUAAACGAUGAAUGCCAGACGUCAGCAAGUAUACUUGUUGGUGUCACACCUAACGGAUUAAGCAUUCCGCCUGGGGAGUACGGUCGCAAGAUUAAAACUCAAAUGAAUUGACGGGGGCCCGCACAAGCGGUGGAGCAUGUGGUUUAAUUCGACGCAACGCGAAGAACCUUACCUGGUCUUGACAUCCUGCGAACUUUCUAGAGAUAGAUUGGUG
rnacentral:rRNA from 1 species